CACUUCUAAGGAAGGCAGCAGGCGCGCAAAUUACCCAAUCCUGACUCAGGGAGGUAGCGACAAGAAAUAACAAUAAACCGGCUUAUGCCGGUUUAAUUGGAAUGAGUACAAUUUAAACAUCUUAACGAGGAACAAUUGGAGGGCAAGUCUGGUGCCAGCAGCCGCGGUAAUUCCAGCUCCAAUAGCGUAUACUAAAGUUGUUGCAGUUAAAAAGCUCGUAGUUGGAUUUCUGUGGGGACGGAGCGGCCGGCCGCAACACGCGGUUCGAGCUAGCGCUUUCCCUACAUCCUGCCGCGAACCGUGCUACCAUUAGUUUGGUGGCGCCGGGGAUCGGCUCGAUUACUUUGAGAAAAAUAGAGUGUUCAAAGCAGGCCACACGCCUUGAAUAAGUUAGCAUGGAAUAAUAACUAAGGACUUCGGUUCUAUUUUGUUGGUGUUCGGGACUGAAGUAAUGAUUGAUAGGGACAGUUGGGGCGGUCUGUAUUCCAAAGCGAGAGGUGAAAUUCUUAGACCUUCGGAAGACAAACAGCUGCGAAAGCGUUCCGCAAGGAUGUUCCCUUUGAUCAAGAACGAAAGUUGGGGGAUCGAAGACGAUCAGAUACCGUCGUAGUCUCAACUAUAAACUAUACCAGCUAGGGAUCGGCCAACGUUAUUCUAUACCGACUUGGUCGGCACCUUAUGAGAAAUCAAAGCAUCUGGGUUCCGGGGGGAGUAUGGUCGCAAGGCUGAAACUUAAAGGAAUUGACAGAAGGGCACCACCAGCCGUGGAGCCUGUGGCUUAAUUUGACUCAACACGGGAAAACUUACCAGGUCCAGACAUAGUAAGGAUUGACAGAUUGAUAGCUCUUUCUUGAUUCUGUGGGUGGUGGUGCAUGGCCGUUCUUAGUUGGUGGAGUGAUUUGUCUGGUUAAUUCCGUUAACGAACGAGACCCCAGCCUGCUAAAUAGCGCGCGUGAGCUUUGCUCGCGGCGAGCUUCUUAGAGGGACUAUGAUGCGCGAUAGCACAUGGAAGUUUGGGGCAAUAACAGGUCUGUGAUGCCCUUAGAUGUUCUGGGCCGCACACGGGCUACACUGGCGCCUGCAACGAGCAUAUCAGCUGGCCCGAGAGGGUCUUGGCUAAUCUUUUGAACCGGCGCCGUGCUUGGGAUUGACCUUUGCAAUUGUUGGUCAUGCAACGAGGAAUGCCUUGUAAACGCGAGUCAUCAGCUCGCAUUGAAUACGUCCCUGCCCUUUGUACACACCGCCCGUCGCUCCUACCGAUGAAUGUUCCGAUGAAAUUUUCGGAGAGCACCUGUGAACUAGGCUCUGCCUUGCGAACGGGAGGCUCAAAGUCACUUAAAUCUGAACAUUUCGAGG
rnacentral:rRNA from 1 species